rnacentral:rRNA from 1 species
CCUACGGGUGGCAGCAGUGGGGAAUCUUGCGCAAUGGACGAAAGUCUGACGCAGCGACGCCGCGUGGGUGACGAAGGCCUUCGGGUUGUAAAGCCCUGUGGGCGGGAACGAACCGGUCGGGAGUGAACAUCUCCCGGCCUUGACGGUACCCGUUUAGCAAGCAUCGGCUCACUCUGUGCCAGCAGCCGCGGUAAGCCAGAGGAUGCGAACGUUGCUAGGAAUUACGGGGCGUAAAGCGCGCGCAGGAUGUGAAAGCCCGGGGCUCAACCUCGGAAGUGCACCGGAUACGGCGGAACUGGGGUCUUGAAGAGGAGAGCGGAAUUCCCGGUGUAGAGGUGAAAUUCGUAGAUAUCGGGAGGAACACCAGUGGCGAAAGCGGCUCUCUGGGCAAUGACCGACGCUGAGGCGCGAAGGCGUGGGAAGCAAACAGGAUUAGAUACCCCGGUAGUC